rnacentral:rRNA from 1 species
GGACUACUCGGGUAUCUAAUCCUGUUUGAUCCCCUUGCUCUCGCGCCUCAGCGUCAGGUAUAAGCUAGAGAACCGCUUUCGCCACCGGUGUUCUUCCACAUAUCUACGCAUUUCACCGCUACACGUGGAAUUCCGUUCUCUCCGCCAAACCUCUAGCGAUAUAGUUUCAAAUGCAGCUCCGAAAUUGAGUUUCGGAAUUUCACAUCUGACUUACAUCACCGCCUACGCGCCCUUUACGCCCAAUAAUUCCGAUUAAUGCUUGCACCCUCCGUAUUACCGCGGCUGCUGGCAC